rnacentral:rRNA from 3 species
CCCUUUGGGUGUGACUGCGUACCUUUUGUAUAAUGGGUCAGCGACUUAUAUUCUGUAGCAAGGUUAACCGAAUAGGGGAGCCGGAGGGAAACCGAGUCUUAACCGGGCGUUAAGUUGCAGGGUAUAGACCCGAAACCCGGUGAUCUAGCCAUGGGCAGGUUGAAGGUUGGGUAACACUAACUGGAGGACCGAACCGACUAAUGUUGAAAAAUUAGCGGAUGACCUGUGGCUGGGGGUGAAAGGCCAAUCAAACCGGGAGAUAGCUGGUUCUCCCCGAAAGCUAUUUAGGUAGCGCCUCGUGAAUUCAUCUCCGGGGGUAGAGCACUGUUUCGGCUAGGGGGCCAUCCCGGCUUACCAACCCGAUGCAAACUGCGAAUACCGGAGAAUGUUAUCACGGGAGACACACGGCGGGUGCUAACGUCCGUCGUGAAGAGGGAAACAACCCAGACCGCCAGCUAAGGUCCCAAAGUCAUGGUUAAGUGGGAAACGAUGUGGGAAGGCCCAGACAGCCAGGAUGUUGGCUUAGAAGCAGCCAUCAUUUAAAGAAAGCGUAAUAGCUCACUGGUCGAGUCGGCCUGCGCGGAAGAUGUAACGGGGCUAAACCAUGCACCGAAGCUGCGGCAGCGACACUGUGUGUUGUUGGGUAGGGGAGCGUUCUGUAAGCC